rnacentral:rRNA from 1 species
UACGAAGGGGGCUAGCGUUGCUCGGAAUCACUGGGCGUAAAGGGUGCGUAGGCGGGUUUUUAAGUCAGAGGUGAAAUCCUGGAGCUCAACUCCAGAACUGCCUUUGAUACUGAAAGUCUUGAGUAUGGAAGAGGUGAGUGGAACUGCGAGUGUAGAGGUGAAAUUCGUAGAUAUUCGCAAGAACACCAGUGGCGAAGGCGGCUCACUGGCCCAUUACUGACGCUGAGGCACGAAAGCGUGGGGAGCAAACAGG